rnacentral:rRNA from 1 species
UUCUACGGCCAUGCUACCCUGAACAAGCCCGAUCUCAUCUGAUCUCAGAAGCUAAGUAGGGUCAGGCCUGGUUAGUACUUGGGUGGGAGACCACCUAGGAAGACCAGGUGUUAUAGGCG